UUGGUUUUUCGUUCUUCUCUCUCUCUUUUCUUUCUCUUUCUUUCUUUUCUCUCUCUCCCCUCUCUUUCGAUUUUUAAAGAACAAUAUAACAAUGGCUGAAAUUGAAGACGAUGAUUAUGAAUUGGAAGAU
rnacentral:ribozyme from 13 species